AUGUACAUUCCUAUAACAUAACAUCAAUGCACUAGAUCCCAUUAGAACUCUGCAAUUAAGCGUGCUCGGGCUAAAGUAGUAUUGGGAUGGGUGACUCCUCGGGAAGUCCUAGUGUUUUACAUG
rnacentral:rRNA from 1 species